rnacentral:tRNA from 1 species
GGCACCAUAGCCAAGAGGUAAGGCAGAGGUCUGCAACACCUUUAUCCCCAGUUCAAGUCUGGGUGGUGCCU